AAGGAUCAUUAUCGAAUAAUCUUGAACGGGCUGUUGCUGGUCCCAUCUGCUGGGACAUGUGCACGCUUGUCAUCUUUAUCAUUUCUCCAACUGUGCACAUAUUGUAGACCCUGGGGGUGUUUUUGGUUUCGGAUUCGUUCCGAGGUGGGGGACUGCUGUGCUUUGCCUUUUCAGAAAGGAGAAAAAAAAGUCGGCUUUUCCCCUUUGCAUCUCCAGGUCUAUGGCAUUUUUCACAACCUCUCAAACUUGUAUAGAAUGUUGAAUAAGGUCCUUUUUUGUACCUAUAAAAGUUAUAAAUACAACUUUCAGCAACGGAUCUCUUGGCUCUC
rnacentral:misc_RNA from 1 species